rnacentral:misc_RNA from 1 species
GCGGGGCCGUGAGAGCCUCGGCGUCCCUCACGAGACAUUCGCGUGUGGGCCUCCCCGGCGUGCGGAGGCGCCGGGAACCUUGGGAGUGUUGCAGUGUUGCACAGUUGCUACCACCCACGCUGUCUCCUGCCAGGUCUGGCCGGCGACACUUGCAGAUCAGUGUGUGUCAGUGGCUUAAGUCAAGACUGAUCAGAAUAUGUGAUCUUCGGUGGCCAGCAUUUAGGCUGUGUUGCGGCCUAUGGCCUCGUGUGGUAGUCCAUACACCAUACGUGGCCACACGGGUGGCCAGUGCCUUGGCGUCAUACAUCUCACAACCGCCUCACCGACUCGCCUGACAGAUGACGUUCUUACCUGUUCUGAUUAUAAAAGAACCGACUUAUUGCGUCUCCUUACUGGCCGACAGGUGUUCUCGUGUGCAGGUCACACGAUGGUUAGGUCAGAUGUGCAUUCUACUUGGCUCAUGGCACCUAACAACCCAGCGCCACACUCAGCUGGAUUGGUGACUUGAACCAGUGACUCUUGUGGCGGGAGGCGAGUAAUGUAUCCACUUCACCACCACUGCUUCUCUCCUAUAAUGGUGUUGUCCAGGGAGAACGACUCUGACGGUAUAUCGUACUAGACAGUGAGGGAAGGUGUGAGUGAGGUGUCAACGUACUGUUACCUGGAGCGUAAUCACGAUUAAAAUCCUGGAGGGAACAAGAGUGGAUGAUGAAUCACUCCGCAGCAGGGAGUAGCUUGGCUUACUGCUCUCACCCACCUGUUCAGUAGAGGUUGGAUGUGAUAGGAGAAUGGAUCAAUGUCUUCAUCCAUCAUCCUUCUCAUCAAGACGGUGCAGGAGGAGCUGACAACUUUAUUCUCAUAAGUCGCUGGCGUUCUCUUGUUACGGUAGAGAAUCAAUUAGCCUUCACCUGUGGACCUUCACCUGUGGACCUUCACCUGUGGACCUUCACCUGUGGACCUUUACCUGUGGACCUUCACCUGUGGACCUUCACCUGUGGACCUUCACUGCUUCAGGUGAUUCAACCCCUUAAUGAGGAGCAGGUGUGUGGGGGCCGGUGAGUACUCGUGCUGCCUCAACAGCUAUCCUGCCAGGGAGGGAUCAGUGACAGAGAUCUAAAUAAC